AUUGAACGCUGGCGGCAUGCCUUACACAUGCAAGUCGAACGGCAGCACGGGUGCUUGCACCUGGUGGCGAGUGGCGAACGGGUGAGUAAUACAUCGGAACGUACCUUAUCGUGGGGGAUAACGCAGCGAAAGCUGUGCUAAUACCGCAUACGCCCUGAGGGGGAAAGCGGGGGAUCGAAAGACCUCGCGCGAUUAGAGCGGCCGAUGCCUGAUUAGCUUGUUGGUGGGGUAAAAGCCCACCAAGGCGACGAUCAGUAGCUGGUCUGAGAGGACGAUCAGCAACACUGGGACUGAGACACGGCCCAGACUCCUACGGGAGGCAGCAGUGGGGAAUUUUGGAAAAUGGGGGCAACCCUGAUCCAGCAAUGCCGCGUGAGUGAAGAAGGCCUUCGGGUUGUAAAGCUCUUUUGUCAGGGAAGAAACACCGGCUCUAACACAGUCCGGGAAUGACGGUACCUGAAGAAUAAGCACCGGCUAACUACGUGCCAGCAGCCGCAGUAA
rnacentral:rRNA from 1 species